AGAUGAUCCAUGUUUUGUUCAGCUCUCAAGAACUAGAAAAGGAUUUUGAGUCCUGCUGACUGUGACCAGCCUGCAGCAAUCCCCUCUCCAUCCCCUUUGUUGAGGGGAGCAUCUCUAAUUAUGAAAGCACCUCAGAGUUUAAGAGGUACACUGUAUGGAGAGAACAAAAGCAGAAAAAAAAAACGAACUUUGUUUUCAAAUGGGUAGCUUGUGCCAUUUAAAAUACCUCUGAGACCUGAUUCAAGUGUAUCCUGAUGUUUUUACUUCUAAAACCCAGCUUGUGACGGAACUCUGGCUGGAUGUGACAGAAAAUAAUGGGCACAACGACAGAAGUACCUACAAAAGAACAGAAGUAAUGUGAUAUUUGCAAACUUGAAAUGUAUUUUCAAUCUCACUGCUGUAAAAGUACUGAGCAAGUUCUAACAUAUUAAUAGAUAAGCUGUGUACCAAAUAUGCAGCAUAUUGUUUGAGGCAACUGUCUGUUUUCUCUGCUGUGCUAAUUUUGCAGUGACACUUCUUAUAGCUGACAACAAAAGGCAGACUUUGGGUAGCAUAUAAAGCUCUUUCCUCCUGGAAAAAGUCUUAUUGAUGUUUUUGUUGUUUGUUUUAACAAAACAAAAAGACAACAUAUCUUUACAAAAAUAAAUUUUUAUUAUUACAAUAAUUUAAAAGAAGAUUUUUCACCAUUUAUGAACAGUACUGUAAGAGGAAUUAUCAAUAAUAGAUCUCGAAGCACAAGCAUUGUUACAGCUGUGUUUUCUUUCGUAGGUCUAGUUCAUUUCACAUAUCUGUAUUUUUACAAUCUCUUUUAAAAUGACAGCAAAAGUGUAUUCUACUAUUUGAAGGUGCUAAUUACUCAAUCACAAAGUCAGAAGGAAUAAUUCUUCAAUCUGUAUUUCUGCUGAAAAGGUGACUUCUUAGUUAAGGUGCACAAGCACCCUUCAAGCAGAGGGAAGGCAAUGAAGCACACAGUUGCCAAAGACUCUGAGCUGUUCAUUGGCUUGUACGUUUGCUGGGUUCCAGGCUAUUAAUGUCAACACUUAAAGUGAAUUGCCCCUGCUUUGAGAAACACUUUAGCUUGAGUGGACGCAAUCUUGGAAAUUUUUGCACAUGUUUACUGUCACAACUGUUCAAGUAAGUAAAAUGCAUAUUUGAAUAUAUGCAAGAUCAGUCUAAUAAAACUGUAGCCUGUUCCUGCUUCAAUCAAAAUAGAUUAGUUUUGUCAUUAAUGAGAACAAGAAAGCUCUUAGAAUACUGUAACCUUCUUUACCUGAAAGAAACUGCUGCAAAAACAUUUCACAGUUCUUAGGAAUUUCUGGAGACCUAACAUAUAUCCUAGUAUUUAAAGCAUGACCAUUGUGUCUGAGCAAGUCUCAUUUGCAUUGUUGUAAAUCUCCUUGAUGUAGGAAGGCUUUAGAUUCAAAGAGCAUCUCUUCAUGUUUUGCAGUGAUUGCAGUUUGCGUUAAUUUGUUUUAAAGAAAAAUAAAAGCUUGCAAUAUAUCUGUAAUAUCAAAUCAUAACAUACACAACUUUCUAAGAUGAUUAAAUAAGCCGAUCUACCUGAAUUACCUAAUAAAGUGAUUAUUAGUGAAA